rnacentral:rRNA from 1 species
CCUACGGGGGGCAGCAGUAGGGAAUAUUGCACAAUGGGCGAAAGCCUGAUGCAGCAACGCCGCGUGUGCGAUGAAGGCCUUCGGGUCGUAAAGCACUUUUCUGGGAGAUGAGAAAGGACAGUAUCUCAGGAAUAAGUCUCGGCUAACUACGUGCCAGCAGCCGCGGUAAAACGUAGGAGGCAAGCGUUAUCCGGAUUCACUGGGUGUAAAGCGCGUGCAGGCGGUUCGGUAAGUUGGGCGUGAAAUCUCCUGGCUCAACUAGGAGAGGGCGUUCAAUACUACCGGACUUGAGAGUGGUAGAGGAAGAUGGAAUUCCCGGUGUAGUGGUGAAAUGCGUAGAUAUCGGGAGGAACACCAGUGGCGAAGGCGAUCUUCUGGACCAUUUCUGACGCUCAGACGCGACAGCUAGGGUAGCAAACGGGAUUAGAUACCCCGGUAGUC